GCGUGCCUAAUACAUGCAAGUCGAGCGGACCGACGGGAGCUUGCUCCCUUAGGUCAGCGGCGGACGGGUGAGUAACACGUGGGUAACCUGCCUGUAAGACUGGGAUAACUCCGGGAAACCGGGGCUAAUACCGGAUGCUUGAUUGAACCGCAUGGUUCAAUCAUAAAAGGUGGCUUUUAGCUACCACUUGCAGAUGGACCCGCGGCGCAUUAGCUAGUUGGUGAGGUAACGGCUCACCAAGGCGACGAUGCGUAGCCGACCUGAGAGGGUGAUCGGCCACACUGGGACUGAGACACGGCCCAGACUCCUACGGGAGGCAGCAGUAGGGAAUCUUCCGCAAUGGACGAAAGUCUGACGGAGCAACGCCGCGUGAGUGAUGAAGGUUUUCGGAUCGUAAAACUCUGUUGUUAGGGAAGAACAAGUACCGUUCGAAUAGGGCGGCACCUUGACGGUACCUAACCAGAAAGCCACGGCUAACUACGUGCCAGCAGCCGCGGUAAUACGUAGGUGGCAAGCGUUGUCCGGAAUUAUUGGGCGUAAAGCGCGCGCAGGCGGUUUCUUAAGUCUGAUGUGAAAGCCCCCGGCUCAACCGGGGAGGGUCAUUGGAAACUGGGGAACUUGAGUGCAGAAGAGGAGAGUGGAAUUCCACGUGUAGCGGUGAAAUGCGUAGAGAUGUGGAGGAACACCAGUGGCGAAGGCGACUCUCUGGUCUGUAACUGACGCUGAGGCGCGAAAGCGUGGGGAGCGAA
rnacentral:rRNA from 1 species